CGCGUCACUUCCAGGAGCGCGGGGUCCAGCGCUUCGGCGUCGGGGCGUUAGGGAUUGGCGGGCUCUGGCAAACUGAGCAUAUAGAUGGGGACACAUAGAGACAUUACUUUGCCAACAAAGGUCCGUCUAGUCAAGGCUAUGGUUUUUCCAGUGGUCAUGUAUGGAUGUGAGAGUUGGACUAUAAAGAAAGCUGAGCGCUGAAGAAUUGAUGCUUUUGAACUGUGGUGUUGGAGAAGAGUCUUGAGAGUCCCUUGGACUGCAAAGAGAUCCAACCAGUCCAUCCUAAAGGAGAUCAGUCCUGGGUGUUCAUUGGAGGGACUGAUGUUGAAGCUGAAACUCCAAUACUUUGGCCACCUGAUGCGAAGAGCUGACUCACUGGAAAAGACCCUGAUGCUGGGAAAGAUUGAGGGCAGGAGGAGAAGGGGAUGACAGAGGAUGAGAUGACUGGAUGGCAUCACUAACUCAAUGGACAUGGGUUGGGGUGGACUCCGGGAGUUGGUGAUGGACAGGGAGGCCUGGGGUGCUGUGGUUCACGGGGUUGCAAAGAGUCGGACACAACUGAGUGACUGAACUGAUACUGAUAGACGGGGGAAAAUGUUAAAACAAUACCCACAAAGUAGUCCCUUAUUUUACUCCAUUUCCUCCUUUGGAGAUAAUUCAUAUUUUUAAAACACAUGCCAGAAAACAAAACAACAACCUUCCAGACAAAAUUAACUUUCUCAUUGGAUGGUAGAUAAACAGUAGAGAAUCCAGAAUCAUUGUAUUCCAUACCAGAAUUCUACAAACUGUCAUUUGCUAAACUCCAGUAGUUUCUCCCCCAUACACAUACACAACUAAUGGCUUUCUUUCCCAAAAGGUAGCUUACACCUUACUGAUACCUGUCUUGAAAUUCAUUUCCAAAACUGGUAGUACAGCCAUAUUUGCUAGCAAAUUCUUUAGAGUAAUGGAAUAAAGAGGUAGAAACUGGCAAUUCCAUCAUAUAUAACCAAACAAGUAUGUUUACUAUUUUUUGCCCAAAUAAUCCAGUGUAACAAUUCCUUUCCCUAAAUGAAGACUUUUAUAACUAAACAAAAUAGAGCAAGUCAAAUCUAUGAUCCAUACUUAUAUAAAAAAUUAAGAUUAAUUUUUUAAUUACUUUCUGAGUGGUAGUAAAAAUUUUACCUACUCAAAGUACUUCACAAAAGUGGAGAGUCAUACGUGACUUACAUGUGUCUGACUGGCUGGCCUGUUAGUAAUAACUUAGUAAUAACGCCCCCAGGCCCACCCAUGCUGCAGCCUGUGUUGGAACACCCUCCUUUCUAAGCUGAGUGACGUGCCCUUUUAUGUACACACCCUGUUUGUCUGCUCCUGCUUCCACGUGUUGGGUGCUGUGAACAUUGGUUCUUCAAGGUCUGUUUUCAGCUUUUAAGGGUGUAUACUCAGAUGUGGAACUGCUGGAUCAUGAUUAUUCUAUUUUUAUUAUUAUUUUUGUUUUUGAAGAAAUGCCAUUAAGUUUUCCACAGCAGCUGCACAAUUUUACAUUCCUACCAACAAUGCAGAAAGUGUUCCAAAGCUCUACAUCCUCACCAGCAUUUGUUAUUUUCUGGUUUUUUUUUUUUUUUUUUUUUUUAAACAGCCAUCGAGACAGCUGUGAGGUAUUAUCUCACUGUAACUUUGAUUUGCAUUUCCCUAAUGAUUAGUGACGUUGAGCUUCUUUUCAUGUGUUUGUUGGCCAUUUGUUCAUCUUUGGAGAAAUGCCUGCUUUAAGUUCUUUGCUGAUUUUUUAGUCAGGUUCUUUUGUUUAUUGUUGAGUUGUAGGAGUUCUUAAUAUAUUAUGGAUAGUAAGCCCUUUAUCAGAUUUAUGAUGUACAAUUUCUUACCCCCAAUCUGUAGGUUGCCUACCUAGAGUUUUUUAAUGUAAAAUGGUCUUACAUCUGGGCUUCCCUGGUUGCUCAGACAGUAAAGUAU